GAUGAACGCUGGCGGCGUGCCUAAUACAUGCAAGUCGAGCGAACAGAUGAGGAGCUUGCUCCUCUGACGUUAGCGGCGGACGGGUGAGUAACACGUGGAUAACCUACCUAUAAGACUGGGAUAACUUCGGGAAACCGGAGCUAAUACCGGAUAAUAUAUUGAACCGCAUGGUUCAAUAGUGAAAGACGGUUUUGCUGUCACUUAUAGAUGGAUCCGCGCCGCAUUAGCUAGUUGGUAAGGUAACGGUUUACCAAGGCAACGAUGCGUAGCCGACCUGAGAGGGUGAUCGGCCACACUGGAACUGAGACACGGUCCAGACUCCUACGGGAGGCAGCAGUAGGGAAUCUUCCGCAAUGGGCGAAAGCCUGGCGGAGCAACGCCGCGUGAGUGAUGAAGGUCUUCGGAUCGUAAAACUCUGUUAUUAGGGAAGAACAAAUGUGUAAGUAACUAUGCACGUCUUGACGGUACCUAAUCAGAAAGCCACGGCUAACUACGUG
rnacentral:rRNA from 1 species